GUUCAAUGUUCCAAAGGUGCCAACAGAUGAUGUCACUCAAGGCGGCCAGUAAUUCAACUGAGGAGUCAAUUCUUCACCCCCCUUCCCACUCUGUUUAAAUUGUUGGGGCUAAUUCCUUUCAAGAAGGUAGAAUUUACCCCUGGAGAUUUCUAUAUACAAGGAAGAGGCCUUUGAAUUCUGAGGUACUAACUCUAUUGGAUACUUAUAUAUGACGAAGUAAGUAUUAUAGUGUUAAUUGCAAUUGAACAGGACAGCUCUUUUUUGCCUCCAACAAUUUCACAUAUAAAUAAGUUCAAGAGUGCGUCUUCUGGAAAUGAAAAUAAUGGUGAAAAUGAAGAAUCAGUUUCUGAGAAUGACCUUGACAAUGUUGUAGGUGUGACUGACAUAUCUGAGUUAGAGGAAAUGGAGCCUCCCAGUACCCUACUAUGCGAACUUCACCCUUACCAGAAGCAAGCUCUCAGCUGGAUGAUCCAACUUGAGAGGGGGCACUGUGGGGAUGAGGCUACAACAACCAUGCACCCAUGUUGGGAUGCUUAUCAACUUGCUGACAGGAUCCAUAGUGGAAUCCAGCAGUUGAAGAACAAACAGUCAUGCAGAUUCAUCGCAUUGGACAAACUAACAAAGUUGUAAUCAAAAGGAUACCGAGGAGAGAAUGUAAGCAGAGAAUGAUAUCUGGUGCUCUAACUGACCAAGAAGUGUGAACUGCGCGAAUAGAGGAACUAAAAAUUCUCCCAACUUAGAUGAGGCUUAUGACUUAUGCAUCUAACAGUUCAAAAUCCCAGGGGACCUCUCCUGCAGAUUUCCCGAUUGGAUUCUGGUUUGUUGAGGAAUAUUAUUCCAAGCGAUAACAUGUUCCCUUAGACGAUGUUGGGAUACAUGGGAGCUAGUGGGAAGUUGAAGCAUGUAGAGUAUGGUUUAGGGAGGAGUUAUUACAAAAAUGGCGAAUGCUUUCUGAUGAACAAUCACUGCUUUCAACAAGGAGAACAGGUGAAUUUCCAUUAUUCGAUGGAACAGGAGACAUAAAAAUAUGUUGUUAUAAAAAUAAAUUUUAAUAGUAUUAUAUGGUGGGAGUAAAUCUCCCCACAUGGUAUUACUAUUUGUCUUGAAUGGAGACAGUAGAGUACUCCUUGUAAGUUCAUGAGUUGUAUGAAUAUGUGCCAAGCGUGCUUAGUUAGUUGA